GGAUGUGUAGCUCAGCUGGUUAGAGCGCUACGUUCACAUCGUAGAGGUCAACGGUUCGAGUCCGUUCACAUCCACCA
rnacentral:tRNA from 1 species